CCUACGGGUGGCAGCAGUGAGGAAUAUUGGUCAAUGGGCGAGAGCCUGAACCAGCCAAGUCGCGUGAAGGAUGACGGCCCUACGGUUUUUAAACUUCUUUUGUCAGGGAGCAAUUGGGUCCACGCGUGGGCUUAGCGAGAGUACCUGAAGAAAAAGCAUCGGCUAACUCCGUGCCAGCAGCCACGGUAGUACGGAGGAUGCGAGCGGUAUCCGGAUUGAUUGGGUUAAAAGGGUGCGUAGGCGGAAUGUCAAGUCAGCGGUAAAAAUUCGGGGCUAAACCCCGUGGUGCCGUUGAAACUGAUGUUCUUGAGUGGGCGAGAGGUAUGCGGAAUGCGUGGUGUAGCGGUGAAAUGCGUAGAUAUCACGAAGAACACCGAUUGCGAAGGCAGCAUACCGGCGCCCAACUGACGCUGAAGCACGAAAGCGUGGGUAUCGAACAGGAUUAGAUACCCGGGUAGUC
rnacentral:rRNA from 1 species